rnacentral:rRNA from 1 species
GACGAACGCUGGCGGCGUGCUUAACACAUGCAAGUCGAACGGAAAGGCCCUGCUUUUGUGGGGUGCUCGAGUGGCGAACGGGUGAGUAACACGUGAGUAACCUGCCCUUGACUUUGGGAUAACUUCAGGAAACUGGGGCUAAUACCGGAUAGGAGCUCCUGCUGCAUGGUGGGGGUUGGAAAGUUUCGGCGGUUGGGGAUGGACUCGCGGCUUAUCAGCUUGUUGGUGGGGUAGUGGCUUACCAGGGCUUUGACGGGUAGCCGGCCUGAGAGGGUGACCGGCCACAUUGGGACUGAGAUACGGCCCAGACUCCUACGGGAGGCAGCAGUGGGGAAUAUUGCACAAUGGGCGGAAGCCUGAUGCAGCAACGCCGCGUGCGGGAUGACGGCCUUCGGGUUGUAAACCGCUUUCGCCUGUGACGAAGCGUGAGUGACGGUAAUGGGUAAAGAAGCGCCGGCUAACUACGUA